rnacentral:rRNA from 1 species
GAUGAACGCUAGCGGCAGGCCUAAUACAUGCAAGACGAACGGUAAGUUGAGUAGCAAUACUUAGCCAAGAGUGUCGUACGGGUGCGUAACACGUAUGCAACCUACCCUAUACAGGAGGAUAGCCUAGGGAAACCUGGAUUAACCCUUCAUAGUAUUAUUGGAUGGCAUCAUUUGAUAAUUAAAACUGAGGUGGUAUAGGAUGGGCAUGCGUCUGAUUAGUUAGUUGGCGGGGUAAUGGCCCACCAAGACGAUGAUCAGUAGGGGUUCCGAGAGGAAGAUCCCCCACACUGGCACUGAGAUACGGGCCAGACUCCUACGGGAGCAGCAGUAGGGAAUAUUGGUCAAUGGAUGCAAGUCUGAACCAGCCAUGCCGCGUGCAGGAAGAAGGGCCUUCUGGGUUGUAAACUGCUUUUGCCAGGGGAUAAAAUUUCCAUGCGUGGAAAACUGAAGGUACCUGGUGAAUAAGCCACGGCUAACUACGUGCCAGCAGCCGCGGUAAU